CCUGCUAAUUAUGCGCCCCUACCAUUCUUUCCUGCCACGGUCCAACGCGCCCGCCGCGCCAAAAUCUCCCCUCGACCGCCGCGGCGCCCGAGCACCCUGGCUCCCUCUCCCGCACCAACGCCCGGCGGCCGGCACCCGUCCUCCCCCGCGCGCAUCCCUGCCGGCCGCUGCUCCUUAGCUUACCCGCCGGCCAAAUUCUACGAGGUCACCGCGGCGUCCUUCCCGUCCCGACCGUAGCGCUGCCCCCUCCUCAUGACCCCAUCCGCGCCACCGCUCCCUCUCCUGCGCAAUAGCGGCGCACGGCGGCUCUGGCGAUGGAGGCGGUAGCCGGGCACGCGGAGGCAGCCGAGGGGUGCCAAAUCCCGUCGACAAGACCCGCGCCGCCACUCCCCUUCCCUGCCGUGCGCCUCCCCUUCUCAUCCAUCCUCGCCACCCCUCUUCCGAGGCCUUGCAAGCUCCUAACCUCCCAGUCCCCUCCACCGAUGCCCUGUUGCAGACUAGAUUGUGGUGCACGCGGCCUCAUCCCCUGGUGGAGGAGUCAGGGGUGACGGCGGCGAGUAGCCGAGGAAGAGGGCGGAGGAAUCGAGGCGACGGUGGCGAGGAGCCAAGGAGGAUACCAGGCAUAUGAAGAUCCGGUGAGGCGAACUCAAGGUUCGACAACCAUCUUGUCCACGUUCGGCCAUCGUUUUCCACUGACGCGGUGAGCCCCAAUCGGCGUGGUAGACAAGACCUUCUUCUCCGCCAAGCUCUAAUCCAUUCUCAACACCACCACCUCCCGCCCCCCCCCCCCCCCCCCCCCCCCAAGUUCGCAAAUCCUCAAGUCUUGCUUGAUCCCCAAUUUCGGUAGACCCUUCACCCUGCUGUUUUCAAUCCAUUCUCCAAAAUGGAGCACGGGAAAGCUGGGUCGACGAACGACGCGGUGGACAGUUGCAUCGGCUGCGCCGCCGCCACCUAAGUUUCUGCCGAUACCCUACAUCAUCCGAGCGAGGUUUGUGUGGCUGGUGUAUUCUGUAGAAGCAAACUAUCAAGCAUGACGAUGAUAUGGUGGGCGUCAGGAACGCUCGUCGCUCACAUGGCUGAAAUCUGCACCCAAACCCCAGUUCGCCACAAUGUGUUGCCACAAGUGAAACGAUAUUUCAGUGCAGUGCCCCCUUACCGGCAUCAUCAACUCCAUCCUCUGUUUGCUAUCAUGGGAAAUGAGGAGCAGCCCAUGAUGGCGGAACAACAUAAUAUGUUAAGCUAGAUUGUGUGUCAACCUACUGGGACACUGGUUCCGAUGUCAAGAAAUGAACCCAACUGACCAAACAUGAAGUUUGUUAAACGGCAAGAAUCAUAAUCUGCAAUUGUAUUACUAUUUGUUACUGCCUUGAUAUUCAGAAUUAAAUCUGUUUUGCUCUAGCUUUGCACUGGGUUGACACUUGCUGAAAUAUAUGUGUUAUCGAUUAGGGACAUAGGUUAAUUUCUGGUUUGUCAUUCAUACAAGUAGAAGGUGCUAGGGAUAGAAAGGAUGUUCUAUACGUGGUUGACUCAAGUAGUGAAUCUAUAUGCCAAUCGAAGCAGUUGAUUGAUCAGUGAUGCUUUUACUUGUGCAGUUGCACGGAUAUAAAAUUCUAGCUUUCGUCAAACAUUUUGUAAUAGUAAGGCUGAUUUAUUUUUUUCCUGUUAGAUACCUGCAAGGCAAUAGGUUAACUGGACCCCGGUAUGACCAGAGCUUAGUUAUAUGUCGACACUGCAUUACCUAUAAUGCGCAGGUAGAACAAGUAGAACAAGAUGCAGUCCAGAAUAUAGCAAGAGCAGCUCUCUGCUUUGAUAACCACGCAUGUAUUUUCAAAUUCAGUCCGAAUUUGGGCAAGAUCAUUGGCUGCACCCAGUCUUGGGUUGCCAAGACCAAGGCCAAGAUCAAGAAGGAUGGCAUGAAGGUUAGUCAGGACAUCCAGCCCAAUGGCGGAGCGUGGUCUGUGUGUAUAGGUAGAAUAUCAUUUCUUGUUGCAUUUCAGUUUGUUACCAGUGUGUGUUAAGUGAUAAAGUGAUAUACACUCAUAGUCUACAAAUAGAAUUUUAUUACAUAUAGCUUCUCUGCUGGUAGCCGGGUCAUGGAAGGUGCAAAUUUGGCAGGUAGAACAGUCAAUUUAAGCUAUGUGGGCAUCUGAUUUAUGAAUCCAUAUAAGCAAGGUGGCAAUUACCAAUUUAUUGCUUCAGCUGAUUGAUUGAUAAAUUAUUUAUAUGCUAAGAUAUGCAGCAACAUGACAUUGUAUUAUCGAGGCUAGGUUGGUCAAGAAGUCCAUUACAUGGAUGUCAGGUCAUUGAUCCGCAGGCUGUCCUGCCUGCCGUCCAUCCGCUGGCAGCCUUGCUCACUUACCAGCAUCCCGAGCGGCGCCUCUGGUUGACCUUCAAGACAUGAUGAUGUGGCAACAUCCAUGGUACUUAAUAUUACAAUGACAGCAGGCAGUACAGCAUUAGAAAAUAGUGCUAUAUUCAUGGGUUGCCAAGAGAUGCCAUUCCUACUAAUUACUGAACCACUUGAGUAAUUUGUAGCAAGUCUUCAGUAUCUUUGACUCACGUGGGCUCUUUUAAUUGCUGUAAAAUUUCAUGAACCAUGCAUAUUGCAGACCGAUCUCCUAGGACUGGAUGUGCAGUACAGCUAGAACCUAGCAUAUGUUCAGUUUAUCAAUAUGGUUGUGGUAUGUUGGCACCCCACUAAUAUUUUAGGUGUACUAUAUUUUGAAUUCGCCUGCAAUGAAUAUGCCUUCCCAGUGUGUUGGACGCGCUAUAAGAAUGUAUGAACCCUCGAGUUCAGGAGAUGAGGUGAACGGAGUCAAUGAUUUUGGAUAAUGAAUUCAACUAUGCGCAA